rnacentral:tRNA from 1 species
GUUUUAAUAAUUUAAACAUAAGAAUAAUGAUCUUGUAAAUCAUAAGUAGGAUUUUAACCUUUAAAACU